UACAGAGGGUGCAAGCGUUAAUCGGAAUUACUGGGCGUAAAGCGUGCGUAGCGGUCAUGUAAGUCGGGUGUGAAAGCCCCGGGCUCAACCUGGGAAUUGCAUUCGAGACUGCAUGGCUAGGGUGCGGAAGAGGGAAGCGGAAUUUCCGGUGUAGCGGUGAAAUGCGUAGAUAUCGGAAGGAACACCAGUGGCGAAAGCGGCUCCUGGUC
rnacentral:rRNA from 1 species